GAGGAUAUAGCUCAGUGGUAGAGCCCAUGCUUAGUGUGCACGAGAUCCUGGGUUCAACUCCUAGUACCUUCA
rnacentral:tRNA from 1 species